GUGCCAGCAGCCGCGGUAAUUCCAGCUCUGUAAGUGUGCUCCCAUAUUGUUGCAGUUAAAAAGCCCGUAGUCGGAUUUCAAUUGACUAAUUAUUCACUGUGAAUAAAUUAGGACGCUUAAAGUAUGGUUGCAUGAAUACUGUAGCGCAGUAUGAAAGAUUUUGCUCUUGUGGCAAGAUCAAAGAGAGCCAUUGGGGGUAUUUCUAUUUCAUGGCGAGCGGUGAAAUGCGUUGACCCAUGGGAGAGAAACGAAAGCGAAGGCAAAUACCCAAAGGGUUUCUGUCGAUCAAGGGCGAGAGUAGGGGGAGCGAACCGGAUCAGAGACCCGGGUAGUCCCUACUGUAAACGAUGUCGACAGGGGAUUGUCUACUAGUUAGGCAGAACCUUAGCAAAAAUGAUAGUUCAUGGACUCUGGGGGAACUACGACUGCAAGGCUGAAACUUGAAGGAAUUGACGGAAGGGCACACCAGGGGUGGAGCCUGUGGCCUAAUUUGAAUCAACACGGGGAAACUUACCAGAACCAGAUGAUUCGAUGACUUACAUCUAAAAGAGCUUUAAGGAUGGGUUUGAUGGUGGUGCAUGGCCGUUGGUGGUGCGUGGGUUGACCUGUCACGAGUCGAUUCAGUUAACGAGCGAGACUACCGCCAAAUAUUAGCCAAGCUAACUUUAGUGGAAGCUUCUAUUUGGGACUACCUGUUAUCAAGCGGGAGGAAGAGGGUAGCAAUAACAGGUCCGUGAUGUCCUUUAGAUGCUCUGGGCUGCACGCGUGCUACAAUGUGAAUCACAAAGGAUUUAAAAUCCGAAAGGAUGCAUUACUUCUUGAAAGAUUCACGUAGCUGGGAUUGACAUUUGGAAUCAUUGUCAUGAACCAGGAAUCCCUUGUAAAUGUAUGUCAACACCGUACGUUGAAUACGUCCCUGCCCUUUGUACACACCGCCCGUCGCUCCUACCGAUUGGACGUUUUGGUGAAAAUACUGGACUUCUUUGAAAGGUAUUUAAAUCAGCUCGUCUAGAGGAAGGAGAAGUCGUAACAAGGUAACGGUAGGUGAACCUG
rnacentral:rRNA from 1 species